GAUGACGCUGGCGCGUGCUAAUACAUGCAAGUAGGACGCUGAAGAGAGGAGCUUGCUCUUCUUGGAUGAGUUGCGAACGGGUGAGUAACGCGUAGGUAACCUGCCUUGUAGCGGGGGAUAACUAUUGGAAACGAUAGCUAAUACCGCAUAACAAUGGAUGUACGCAUGUCAUUUAUUUGAAAGGGGCAAUUGCUCCACUACAAGAUGGACCUGCGUUGUAUUAGCUAGUAGGUGAGGUAACGGCUCACCUAGGCGACGAUACAUAGCCGACCUGAGAGGGUGAUCGGCCACACUGGGACUGAGACACGGCCCAGACUCCUACGGGAGGCAGCAGUAGGGAAUCUUCGGCAAUGGGGGCAACCCUGACCGAGCAACGCCGCGUGAGUGAAGAAGGUUUUCGGAUCGUAAAGCUCUGUUGUAAGUCAAGAACGGAUGUUGAGAGUGGAAAGUUCACAACUGUGAACGGUAGCUCUACCAGAA
rnacentral:rRNA from 1 species